GUAGUCAUAUGCUUGUCUCAAAGAUUAAGCCAUGCAUGUCUAAGUAUAAGCAAUUUAUACGGUGAAACUGCGAAUGGCUCAUUAAAUCAGUUAUCGUUUAUUUGAUAGUACCUUACUACAUGGAUACCUGUGGUAAUUCUAGAGCUAAUACAUGCUGAAAACCCCGACUUCGGAAGGGGUGUAUUUAUUAGAUAAAAAACCAACGCCCUUCGGGGCUCCUUGGUGAAUCAUAAUAACUUAACGAAUCGCAUGGCCUUGCGCCGGCGAUGGUUCAUUCAAAUUUCUGCCCUAUCAACUUUCGAUGGUAGGAUAGUGGCCUACCAUGGUGGCAACGGGUAACGGGGAAU
rnacentral:rRNA from 1 species